UACGGGGGGGGCAAGCGUUGUUCGGAAUUACUGGGCGUAAAGGGCUCGUAGGCGGCCAACUAAGUCAGACGUGAAAUCCCCAGGCUCAACCUGGGAACUGCGUCUGAUACUGGAUGGCUUGAAUCCGGGAGAGGGAUGCAGAAUUCCAGGUGUAGCGGUGAAAUGCGUAGAUAUCUGGAGAAAUACCGGUGGCGAAGGCGGCAUCCUGGACCGGCACUGACGCUGAGGCACGAAAGCGUGGGGAGCAAACAGG
rnacentral:rRNA from 1 species